ACGACCUUACUUGAACAGGAUUUGUUCUAUAGGCUUGUACUGCUGCAUCCUUUACCAAUAAGGAGGCAAGCACUUCAGUCUGGUUGAUGCAUUCUAACCUCUGGGCCAGAGCGUGAUUAACGGCUUGGAUUCAUUCUCAAGGAAGCAAAAAUUCAAGGCUAAUGAUUUCUUCGGCGAGCACGUAUUCUUCACUGAUUACAACCCCUAUGACUCUGCUCGCAUUAGGAGAGGCGUUUCUGGACU
rnacentral:snoRNA from 1 species